rnacentral:rRNA from 1 species
CAGUAGCCGCGGUAAUACGUAGGGGGCUAGCGUUGCUCGGAAUGACUGGGCGUAAAGGGCGCGUAGGCGGCGGCCAAAGUCAGGCGUGAAAUUCCCGGGCUCAACCUGGGGACUGCGCUUAAUACAGGCGGUCUAGAGUGAGGAAGAGGGUUGUGGAAUUCCCAGUGUAGAGGUGAAAUUCGUAGAUAUUGGGAAGAACACCGGUGGCGAAGGCGGCAACCUGGUCCUUGACUGACGCUGAGGCGCGAAAGCGUGGGGAGCAAACAGGAUUAGAUACCCCAGUAGUCCCUGUCUCUUAUAC